rnacentral:rRNA from 1 species
UAGGGAAUCUUCCACAAUGGACGCAAGUCUGAUGGAGCAACGCCGCGUGAGUGAAGAAGGUCUUCGGAUCGUAAAGCUCUGUUGUUGAUGAAGAAGGAUAGAGGCAGUAACUGGUCUUUAUUUGACGGUAAUCAACCAGAAAGUCACGGCUAACUACGUGCCAGCAGCCGCGGUAAUACGUAGGUGGCAAGCGUUGUCCGGAUUUAUUGGGCGUAAAGCGAGCGC